AUUGUGGUGUAUGGGGAGGGGGCUCGUCUGCACUGGGUUCAUGCAGUGAGCGGGUGGACACAAGGCGCAGUUCACAACCCAGUUGAGGAUACGAAGUAUUUUUUAUUUUUUGAUUAGCAAAGACGACGCCUGUAGACCUCCUGCCUG